CAGUCGCCACGGUAAUACGAAGGGGGCUAGCGUUGUUCGGAUUUACUGGGCGUAAAGCGCACGUAGGCGGACUUUUAAGUCAGGGGUGAAAUCCCGGGGCUCAACCCCGGAACUGCCUUUGAUACUGGAAGUCUUGAGUAUGGUAGAGGUGAGUGGAAUUCCGAGUGUAGAGGUGAAAUUCGUAGAUAUUCGGAGGAACACCAGUGGCGAAGGCGGCUAACUGGACCAUUACUGACGCUGAGGUGCGAAAGCGUGGGGAGCAAACAGGAUUAGAUACCCCUGUAGUCCCUGUCUCUUAUAC
rnacentral:rRNA from 1 species